UUAUUGGGCGUAAAGCGAGCGCAGGCGGUUUUUUAAGUCUGAUGUGAAAGCCUUCGGCUCAACCGAAGAAGUGCAUCGGAAACUGGGAAACUUGAGUGCAGAAGAGGACAGUGGAACUCCAUGUGUAGCGGUGAAAUGCGUAGAUAUAUGGAAGAACACCAGUGGCGAAGGCGGCUGUCUGGUCUGUAACUGACGCUGAGGCUCGAAAGUAUGGGUAGCAAACAGGAUUAGAUACCCUGGUAGUCCAUACCGUAAACGAUGAAUGCUAAGUGUUGGAGGGUUUCCGCCCUUCAGUGCUGCAGCUAACGCAUUAAGCAUUCCGCCUGGGGAGUACGGCCGCAAGGCUGAAACUCAAAGGAAUUGACGGGGGCCCGCACAAGCGGUGGAGCAUGUGGUUUAAUUCGAAGCUACGCGAAGAACCUUACCAGGUCUUGACAUACUAUGCAAAUCUAANAGAUUANACGUUCCCUUCGGGGACAUGGAUACAGGUGGUGCAUGGUUGUCGUCAGCUCGUGUCGUGAGAUGUUGGGUUAAGUCCCGCAACGAGCGCAACCCUUAUUAUCAGUUGCCAGCAUUAAGUUGGGCACUCUGGUGAGACUGCCGGUGACAAACC
rnacentral:rRNA from 1 species